GACGAACGCUGGCGGCGUGCUUAACACAUGCAAGUCGAACGGAAAGGCCUGCUUUCCCUUGUGGAUUGCGGGUACUCGAGUGGCGAACGGGUGAGUAACACGUGAGUGAUCUGCCCCCAACUUGGGUAUAAGCCUGGGAAACUGGGUCUAAUUCCCGAUAGGACUGCAGGGUGGUGCCUGUGGUGGAAAACGAUUUUCUAGUGGUUGGGGAUGAGCUCGCGGCCUAUCAGCUUGUUGGUGGGGUAAUGGCCUACCAAGGCGGCGACGGGUAGCCGGCCUGAGAGGGUGGACGGCCACAUUGGGACUGAGACACGGCCCAGACUCCUACGGGAGGCAGCAGUGGGGAAUAUUGCACAAUGGGCGGAAGCCUGAUGCAGCGACGCCGCGUGGGGGAUGACGGCCUUCGGGUUGUAAACUCCUUUCGACCGCGAGGAAGCCACCUGGUUGGAAGGGUGGUGACGGUAGUGGUAGAAGAAGCACCGGCUAACUACGUG
rnacentral:rRNA from 1 species